GUGAGUGCUUGCUUCCAUUAAACAGAACUGCUUUACCCCUUCAUGAAGUCUUGGCUCAUGUUUGGCAGGAUGGGAUUACUGCACUCUGGGGAUUGCUAUAUCACAAUACUCCCCUGAGUUUAAGUUCUUGUAAGAGCUUGUUCCUGCUCUCUGGAUCUAAGAAAGGUCUACCCACUGGAAGCUGAACCCUGGUAUUGGGUCCAGAGUGGGUGGAGGACAGCGAAACCCCAACCAAGCUAUG